UGGGACUAAUCAUACCACACAUCAUUCACAACGACCAGGUGGGAUUUGUAAAAGGGAGACAGGGGUCAGACAACACAAGGAAGGCCAUAAACCUGCUAUACAAACUACAAACACAAAAAGAGGGGGGAUUGUUCCUCUCUCUAGACGCCGAGAAGGCUUUUGACAGGCUACACUGGGGGUUUCUAAAAGCAGUCUUACGGAAGUUCGGAAUACCGGACGAAUUUGGAGCAGUGGUAGACGCAUUAUACAGCUCACCCGAAGCACGAGUGUUAAACUCGGGUUUCCUGUCGGAGCCGUUUCGGCUCACUAACGGAACGAGGCAAGGAUGUCCAUUAUCGCCACUAUUGUACAUCCUGGCCCUAGAACCACUAGCCACGCAAUUCAGGGAAAAUAGCAAUAUACACGGGAUACAAGUGGGGAAGAAGGAAUACAAAGCAGGACUGUUCGCGGAUGACAUAAUGCUGACAAUCACACAACCUCACAUCUCACUACCAAACAUUCUUACUGAAAUAAAGGAGUACGGGGACCAAUCUUACUAUACAUUGAACGUUACCAAAACUCA